GGCUCCAGGUUCGAAUCCUGGUAAGAAAAGGUGCUCGAUCCAUUGUUGCAUCAACAGAGCCUGCGCUGCCUUGUACUAUAUAAAAAAGAGUAACAAAAUUAAGACUAAGGUUCGGUAUUCAAUUAAAUUAAAUUGAAUUAUUUUUGUUUCGACCAACUUAUUGGAUCAUAAAUUAUAACAAUCGAUACUAAUAUUAUAUAUAAAAUAACUUAGAAAUAUUUUUUCCAUUUCACAAUAAAUAGAGAUAACCAAGUUAUGGACAGUUCUAAAGUAAAAUCAAUUUAUUAUUCACAAUAACUUAAAACUUUCCCUUAAUGUGUUUAAAUGUUUUUCUUUUCAUUGGCGAGACGAAGUUUACUACCUCCAGCUCCGUUGCUAGCCAAAUAUCAUUGAAGCGGCGGCGGCGUCACCGGCGUCGUUACCGAAUCGAGAAAUGCCUAGCGCAAGAACGAACACGAACCAUGCCACGCUCACGCCAACACAUACGGUAGAUACACGUAAAAUACAAGCAUUUUCAUGCGUGACUACUGCAAAGAACGUCCUUCGUAGAAGUUCGCACUGCUGAAUGAAGAUAAAAUAUCGUUUAAUAAACUAUAAACUGUACAUAAGAAAAUAAAAUACAGAACAGAG